rnacentral:rRNA from 1 species
GACGGAGGGUGCAAGCGUUGUUCGGAUUUACUGGGCGUAAAGAGCGCGCAGGCGGUCGUACAAGUCGCGUGUGAAAGCCCCCGGCUCAACUGGGGAGGGUCACGCGAUACUGUUCGACUCGAAGGCAGGAGAGGGAAGCGGAAUUCCCGGUGUAGUGGUGAAAUGCGUAGAUAUCGGGAGGAACACCAGUGGCGAAGGCGGCUUCCUGGCCUGUUCUUGACGCUGAGGCGCGAAAGCUAGGGUAGCAAACGGG